rnacentral:rRNA from 1 species
CAGUCGCCACGGUAAAACGUAGGGUGCGAGCGUUAAUCGGAAUUACUGGGCGUAAAGGGCGCGUAGGCGGCCAUUCAAGUUAGAUGUGAAAGCCCUGGGCUCAACCUAGGAAUUGCAUUUGAUACUGUUUGGCUUGAGUUCGGGAGAGGUGAGUGGAAUUCCCAGUGUAGAGGUGAAAUUCGUAGAUAUUGGGAAGAACACCAGUGGCGAAGGCGGCUCACUGGACCGACACUGACGCUGAGGCGCGAAAGCGUGGGGAGCAAACAGGAUUAGAUACCCCCGUAGUCCCUGUCUCUUAUAC